UACGAAGGGGGCUAGCGUUGCUCGGAAUCACUGGGCGUAAAGCGCACGUAGGCGGCUUUUUAAGUCAGAGGUGAAAUCCUGGAGCUCAACUCCAGAACUGCCUUUGAUACUGGAGAGCUUGAGUCCGGGAGAGGUGAGUGGAACUGCGAGUGUAGAGGUGAAAUGCGCAGAUAUCAGGAGGAACACCAAUGGCGAAGGCAGCUCGCUGGGACGGUACUGACGCUGAGACGCGAAAGCGUGGGGAGCAAACAGG
rnacentral:rRNA from 1 species